UCGGGAAUAUUGCGCAAUGGAGGAAACUCUGACGCAGUGACGCCGCGUAUAGGAAGAAGGUUUUCGGAUUGUAAACUAUUGUCGUUAGGGAAGAAAAAAGACAGUACCUAAGGAGGAAGCUCCGGCUAACUACGUGCCAGCAGCCGCGGUAAUACGUAGGGAGCAAGCGUUAUCCGGAAUUAUUGGGUGUAAAGGGUGCGUAGACGGGAGUCUAAGUUAGUUGUGAAAUCCCUCGGCUCAACUGAGGAACUGCAACUAAAACUGGACAUCUUGAGUGCAGGAGAGGAAAGUGGAAUUCCUAGU
rnacentral:rRNA from 1 species